AAUUUACUAAUUGUCACCCCUCGGACAUAAUUGUCCGAUGACACCAGACGGCGCUGUCAUUUCCGUAAAUUUUGGAAGUUUCUUAUUUUGAACAAUAAUGAUGUUAAACGUCUAUUUUACCCUUGUGAUGUGUUUAACCCUUUUCCAUACAGGGCUAUGUAUAGAUUGUCACCAGUGUGCAUCAAAGGAUGACGGUUCAAUUCCACCAUUUUGUUCAGACCCCUAUGAUGGAGAUGAGAUGGCUGACAAUAUAGACGGCUGUGAUGACAAAGACACACACUGUCUGAAGAGCAAAGUGGUCCUUUACCUGAAUGAUGCUGGCUUUAUUCUUGGGUCCCCCAGAGAAUCAGUGGCUGUAACGAGAGGUUGUAUACGUGCUGAUAACGAAGGUGACCAUUGCAAAUACAUAGAAGCUGAUUCUGGCUUCUUUUUCUGGUGUAUCUGCUCGGAGGAUGGCUGUAAUGGUGCCAGGGGCAUCGUCUCCAGUCUGACCUUGACAUUAACGUUUGCAGUGAUUGGUCACUUAAUACGCAGAAUAUUGUGAAGCGGUGUGAGAAGCACCUGUAUAUAUACACACAAGUUUGCAUUAACUAUAGAUAUGAAGAGAUGCUACCAUUUUUUUAACGUUUCCAGUUAAUUUUAGAUAUUUUUGUUUUUUUAUAUAGCUAUAUAAUAGCAAGGAACAAAGUAUCCUGCAUGGAUUCAUGUAAUUGUAGUACUAAAAGUAUUCAGUUUUUCGACAAGAAAAUUAAUAUCCAGGAUGUUUUUAACAUUCUAAUUUCAGUUUCUGAAUAAAGCAUCUGGGAUAAUUUGAACCUUGCUGGGACUGCAAUACCUUGAACUAAAUAAGUGCCUAGAAAUGUAUAAAUUAUGUACACUAUUCUAGAACCGAAUGUAUUGUUUUUGUAUUUUAGGCUGUAUACAUAGAGAACAACAGUGCUAUAAGUGUAUACCUGAAACAGUAAUCAUUCAUAUUUCAUACUGUUUUCUUGACAUUCUGCUUUAAUAUGAAAAUGAUACAUAUAUAUGUAAAACAUUGCUUACUAGAAUUGUAAAUACCAUGUAUAGUUUUGUAGAGUAUGGGCAGUUUUAAAAAUUAUACUUUAAAGCUGUAAGAACUUAGACACAGGUGUCCAAUAAUCAACAGUUUUAUAUAAUGAUGAGGUGAAUGUCACCUUGGUCUGGUCUGUAGACUUAGAUAUUCAACAAUACAUUCAAUUUUUACACAUUAUCAGUUUGCAUUCGAUAAAUAUGAAGUGAGCUGAUGAUUUUGAACAAGUUUAAUUCUGUUUCCAAUGUUUCAAAAUUUCCUGCGAUGGCUAUCAUCACCGGAGCGAUGAUUACUUUCAUCGUAAAGAUUAUCAUUCUUAACCAGCAUAAUUAACACCGUUCUCUUCACUUUCUUCAAAUUUCGUCAAUCAUAUAAAGUUCUUAUUGAUAUUUUAGUUCACUAAUAGCUUCAUUAUGUUCCAGGAGACAAUGUAUGACACAAAAAGUAUUCUUGUAUUCAGAAAAUAUAGAAACUUGAACUAUGUGCACGAUUAUUUUUUCUCCAGAUUUAAAGUAGAAUUCAAAGCAGCAGAAGGAGCUUUAUUUUCACUGUAUACAAAUGUGAAGUAACAAGCAUGUUUUAUUGGGAUAAUGCAUGUUUUUUCAUGUUAUAACGUCUGCAAAAUCCUGAGGGAUUGGUUGGUGCACGAGCCUGUAGGGCGAGGGCACCAACGUAUCCCAAGGGAUUCUGAAGAUGUUAUAACAUGAAAUGAACAUGUGCUAACACUAUUCUUGCAUAAAACGCAAAAAAAAACCACUAAUAAAUGAAUACAUUUUCCCUCAGUGUCAUUAGAUUUCCCCGAAAUUUGCAGAAAUAUUUGUUGUUUUUUCAUGUUGACUUCAUUUUCAUUUGAAUGAUCCAUUUUGGGCUGUAAUACAUUUGCGCUUUGCCAUGGAAUGCACAAUAACAGCACAUGAACACGAGAAACUCUCCGUUAAAACAUGUUUUCUCUCUUGUUAAUACACCCCCAAAAAGUGACAGGAACAGCAGUUUUAUGCCAGAAUGUGUUUUUAAAGCUGUUAUACUGGUACUCUGAUCAGACUUCUUUUGCUUCUGUAUACUCGUAAUCACAGUUGUCAAUUUCCAAGCGAUUACAUAUUCUCACGUGUUAUUUUGGCAAUUUCCAAGCAAUAACGUAUUCUCACCUGUGAUUUCGGCAAUCUUAUUCUGUGACAGAAAGUUACUGUUUUUCAACAACCGGAGAAUAUGUAAUCGAUCAAAGUGUAGAUUGUUAUUACGUGUCCAAUGCCUUUAUGCAUAAAAUUUUAAUUUCUCUUCCAUCAUGUAUAUAUGUAAAUCUCUGCUCCUAUCACCAUAAAAUGUAUAUAUAUCUGUACACAUCAAACUUUGUAAAUAUUUUUUCUACAUUUUUAACAAUAGAGUCAUGACUUUUUUAUUCUGCUUUGUUAUAUAUAUAUAUUUAUGGAAAGUAUAUUGAUAAAAAGCAAUAUAGAAAAAAGCAAAAUGGUUGUAUAUUGUAUAGGUACUGCUGAACAUAUCAAGGUACAUUUUUUCUGUGAGAAUUUUAUACUGUUUGUAUAUAAGAAUUUUACAUUUUGAGCAUUUGCUACAUAUUUUUAUAACAUUUAUGGAAUUUUUAACCAGGUUUUCAACGAAAACCUGAGUUAUUAGAUUGGGGUAAAUGUCGGUCGGGCGGGCGGGCGGCGGCGGCGGCGGUGGCGGCGGUGGCGGCGGCGGCGUCAAACUGGUGUUUCCGGUCAAUAACUUUUGUUUCGGUAAAGAUAUUUUAAUAAAACUUGGUAUGUAUGUAGCUUAUAUCAAGACAAAGGCUGGGAUUGAUUUUGGGGUUUCUGGGGUCAAGGUCAAGGUCACUGUUACUUAAAAUAGAAAAAGGGUUUCCCGUCAAUAACUUUCGUUGCGGUAAAGGUAUUUGAAUAAAACUUGGUAUGUAUGUAGCUUAUAUCAAGACAAAGGCUGGGAUUGAUUUUGGGGUUUCUGGGGUCAAGGUCAAGGUCACUGUUACUUAAAAUAGAAAAAGGGUUUCCAGUCAAUAACUUAACUUAGGAAUGAGCUAUCAUGAUGAAACUUGGUGUAUAGAAAACUUAUAUAAAGUUGUAGCUUGGGAUUGAUUUUGGGGUUUCUGGGAUCAAGGUCAAGGUCAUUGUUACUAAAAAUAGGGUUAGGGUUAGCAUAUCUUCUACAUGCAUGGAGGGAUUUUGAUGAAUGUUGGCACAAUUGUUCACCAUCAUGAGACGGAGUGUCAUGCGCAAGAACCAGGUCCCUAGGUCUAAGGUCAAGGUCACACUUAGAGGUCAAAGGAUACAAGAAUGAAAACUUUGUCCGGAGCAUAUCUUCUUCAUGCAUAGAGGGAUUUUGAUGUAACUUGGCACAAUUAUACACCAUCAUGAGACGAAGUGUCUUGCGCAGUUCCCUUCUUUAGAAUUACUUCCCUUUGUUAUUACUAUAAAUAGCUGAUAUUGUAACUUUCAUUACUAGACGUAGGGAAAAAUAGAGACCACUUUUCUGUAGUACAACAUGCAUGUUACAUCCAAUUUUGAGGUGUAUUUUGACCAAUCUCUACCUGGUAAGGAUUUCUGUGUGGACUUAAAAUUUUUUUUUUUUUUUUUUUUUUUUUUUUUUUUAAGAUUAACUUCCCUUAGUUGUUACUAUAAAUAACUUAUAUUGUAACUUUUUUAUAAUUGACCAUAGGGAAAAACCAAGACCACUUUUCUGUGGUACAACAUAGUUGUUACUUUCUAAUUUUAGGUGUAUUUUAAGGUAUCUCUACCUGGUAAGGAGUUUUUUUGUGGACUUAGAAAAACAAAAGAAUUACAAUGAUUACUAAACAACCACAAAAUUAAAAUUACAUCUGCAAAUACAGGUGCUAGAGUAAAGAAAUUUGCUUUGACGGGUGUAUAUUGUGACAUUCUGGCACUCUUGUUUAUUCUUAUGAAAAGUGUUGAAAACCUGGUUUCGUGGCAUUGCCGUGUUUCUUGUUUAAAUUAUUCUGAUUAAUGGCCAUAAUGUAUUUGUGAAAAAAGACUGCAAGAGGUAAAACAUAAAAAAAAUUGUUCAAAGGCUACCUCAUCCUAAAUUAUUCCUUAUUUGAUUUUGAAAUAAUUCAACAGAAAUGUUCCUUGGGUGACAAAGCCAUUUGAAAAAAGAAUACAAACAAAAAUCUGUCUUUGAAAGGGCUUUUCAGUCCCUCCUUACAUGGUUCUAUUGAAAACAUUGAAAAUCUUCUCCUCAGAAUCUACGGGCCAGUUCUUAAAGUAAUUUGGCAGAAAUGUUCCUGAGUUAACUCUCUUCUAGUUACAGUGUUACCAAUUUGAGCUUUGCAACACAGGUGAGCGAUCAGUGACCAUCAGGGUCCUGUGGUUUUGCAAUACUGCCAUGUUGUUAAAUAGCUUUUAACAAAAUAAGACAAGUAUUAUGUAUUUGUCCUAUUCUUAAGCAAAAUAAAUCACCGUGUAAGAUUUUUAGCUCGACUAUUCGAAGAAUAGUCUAGCUAUUCUACUCACCCUGGCGUCGGCGUCGGCGUCGGCGUCACACCUUGGUUAAGUUUUUGCAUGCAAGUACAUACAGCCAUCAGUGAAAGGCAUAUAGCUUUGAAACUUAUUUCUUCUUUUUCUAGGUCAAUUACCAACCUCUCUGGGUCAAGUCCCAUAACUCUGACAUGUAUUUUGAGCAAAUUAUGCCCCCUUUUGGACUUAGAAAAUUUUGGUUAAAGUUUUACAUGCAAGUUACUAUCUCCAAAACUAAUGCAGAUAUUGAUUUGAAACUUCACAUGUGUCUUCGGGGUUAUAAAACUAGUUGAUAGCAGCAAGUCCCAUAACUCUGACUUUCAUUUUGGCCAAAUUAUGCCCCCUUUUGGACUUAGAAAAUUCUGGUUAAAGUUUUGCGUGCAAGUACAUACAACUAUUUCUAAAAGGCAUAUAGAUUUAAAACUUAUUUUUUCUUUUUCUAGAUCAAUUACCAACCUCACUGGGUCAAGUCCCAUAACUCUGACAUGUUAUUUGAGCAAAUUAUGCCCCCUUUUAGACUUAGAAAAUUUUGGUUAAAGUUUUACAUGCAAGUUACUAUCUCCAAAACUAAUGCAGAUAUUGAUUUGAAACUUCACAUGUGUCUUCGGGGUUAUAAAACUAGUUGAUAGCAGCAAGUCCCAUAACUCUGACUUUCAUUUUGGCCAAAUUAUGCCCCUUUUGGACAUAGAAAAUUCUGGUUAAAGUUUUGCGUGCAAGUACAUACAACUAUUUCUAAAAGGCAUAUAGAUUUAAAACUUAUUUUUUCUUUUUCUAGAUCAAUUACCAACCUCACUGGGUCAAGUCCCAUAACUCUGACAUGUUUUUUGAGCAAAUUAUGCCCCUUUUAGACUUAGAAAAUUUUGGUUAAAGUUUUACAUGCAAGUUAUUAUCUCCAAAAAUAAUGCAGAUAUUGAUUUGAAACUUCACAUGUGUCUUCGGGGUUAUAAAACUAGUUGAUAGGAUCAAGUCCCAUAACUCUGACUUUCAUUUUGGCCAAAUUAUGCCCCCUUUGGACUUAGAAAAUUCUGGUUGAAGUUUUGCGUGCAAGUACAUACAGCUAUUACUAAAAGGCAUAUAGAUUUGAAACUUAUUUUUUCUUUUUCUAGAUCAAUUACUAACCUCACUGGAUCAAG